rnacentral:lncRNA from 1 species
CGCGUACUAGAGGUUUUUGCCUCAGUCUGUACAUUUUGAAAAAAAUAAUUACAGAACCAAAAGGAGCCCUCGUCAUUUGGUUUGGAAAUAAAAAUAAACCCAGUUAGGAAGAAAGUUUAAGUACGGUCUGUUUUGGAGUUCUAAUUCAGGUCUCCGAGAGUUAAAGUCAGAAUGCAGCAAUGCCCAGGCAAGUGGCCGUCUGUCCCUGCCCUCUCUGAACUUGAGAAUCUCUAACUGAAUGGAUGGACACAAGUAGCAUUUUGUACAGUGAUAAUGGAAAAUUAAAUACGACUUUUAAAAACUGCUCACAUUAUAAAGUGAUCUAUUAGCAUUAUACGACUUCAGCACUUAAAGUGACUGAUUCUAAUUGCACGAUUUGGCCCAUGGCAAGCAUUAAAGAGCUGCAGAAUCUUGCGGGUAUUUUAUCUCUUUGGGGAUAUUUUAAAGUGAAUUUUCUUUGGAAUAAAGCUUUGUUCCUGCCACACAAAAGAUUGUGGUGGAAGAAAAUCUCUUAGUUCUAAUAGAACCAGAGAUAAUUAUAGUUUCUUCCUCUUUGAUUCAUGAAUCAAUAAGGCAAAUAUUAAAAACAUUCUUGCAUUUUCCCUCCCUUUUCUUUAUGGAGUAAAACUCUGUCUUUAUAGCUUGGGGCUGUUAUCCCAAAGAGGUAAAGAUGGUUGCUUCGUGUGUAAUGAGCUUUUCUAGCCAUCAGAGAGGUGUUCUUUCUCUGCACCUGCUUAUCGUACCAUGGCCUUCUGAAUCUUUUCUGGGCAAGCCCAUGGGUUGCUCAGAUGACAUCAUAGUGCCAUACCUGAGGCUGAACUUGAUUUAAACAGGUUAUCACAAACCUAUAGGGAUGUCUAAGCUGGUGCUCUUCAUAGAUGAAAACCCUAUUAAAGGAUUUUCAGUUUUCAGAAAAAAAAAGAAUACAGGGGAAUGUCAUUCAUUUUUUAAUUUCACUUUAUGUUUAUGACAUCGAUAGGCUUUUUCAUGACUUUCAUCAUUAUGGACUCCAGGAAGCUUAUUAAUCAAAUAGUAUUGGAAAUCACAGCUCUUUAUGCUGAGGAAGUUCUUGUGGAACUUCCAGUUCAAGCAGUUUAAGAUAAACUGCAAUUUUACCUUAAUCUAUGUACAUAUGGAUUUCUGACUGGUGGUUCUUAGAUCUCCCAAUAGUAGAAAAAUUGCCUGCUAUGCUUCAGAUUUGAAGUUAUGACCGCCAUUGUUAUCCUGUCACUGACAGUGGGCUCUUGAACAUGUAAUUUGAAAACUGCAGGAACACUGUUGGAGUGUACACACUGACGAUAUUUACUUAAAACAUCUUUUUUCUAAAACUGACAUUUUUUGAAAAGGACAGUGCUAAAGAGAAGGAAGUUUAAAGGCACUCUGUCUUCCUGUGAGUUUUUCACUAACAAUUCCCUCUAGCCUGUAAUUGCUCUCUAUCUUCCAAAACCUAGGAUCCGCAGAAUAGACAGAGAUACUUAUUACUGACUUGAAUUAGGAUAAAAGGAAAAUAGAAGGCCAUAGCCAUCAGCAUUUUGUUUAUGAAAAUAUCAUUUUGAGGAUAUGCUUGAAUCUGGCAAAAGUAAUGCACCUCAUUCCUCUCCCAGAAUAUUUUAAGAGCCAAUGCGGCUGGAGUUCCCAUCGUGGCUCAGUGGUUAACGAAUCUGACUAGGAACCAUGAGGUUGCAGGUUCGACCCCUGGCCUUGCUCAGUGGGUUAAGGAUCUGGUGUUGCUGUGAGCUGUGGUGUAGGUUGCAGACACGGCUCAGAUCCCACAUUGCUGUGGCUGUGGCGUAGGCCGGUGGCUACAGCUCUGAUUCGACCCCUAGCCUGGAAACCUCCAUAUGACUCAGGAGUGGCCCAAGAAAUGGCAAAAAAGACAAAAAAAAAGAACCAAUGUGGCUGGACCAAAGGAACAGUGUCCAGAAGUAGGGCAUUAUCUUUUUCAUAUGCCAAUGUGGUGUGUGCAGCAUCAUUUAACCAUUACAUUUUUCUCAGCUAUUCCAGAAAUAGAUAUGAAAAUUACAAGUAUAAAGGCAAAAAUAUAUAAAGAUGGAUAAAAGCAAAAUAAUUAAAACGUGUUUUUUCAGCCAUUAUAGUAUUAUUUUAAAACUGUUUUAAACUCACAAGAAGUUGUAAAAAGACUUCAGAGACAUCCCCUGUUCAAUUUUUCCAAAGAUAACAUCUUAUGUUACCACAGUACCUUGUCAACAUUAGGAAACUGAUUCAAUAUUCUUAACCCAGGUAUAGAAACUUAUUUGGACUUCAGCAGCUUUUACAUAUAUUUUUUUGGAUGUGUAUUAAAAUAUAGAAAUUCAUUAACUGCCGGUGUUAAGGGAACAUCUUUCAUCAAUGAAUACUGAUUGUGUAAGGUUCUCAGAUGAUGUGGUUUUAUACAUCCUGUGGCUGACAAAAGAGAAGGUGGGGGAGUUCCCUUCGUGGCGCAGUGGAAACGAAUCUGACUAGUGUCCAUGAGGAUGCAGGUUCGAUCCCUGUCCUCCAACAGCGGGUUAAGGGUCUGGCAUUGCUGUGAACUGUGAACCUUGCAGACGGGGCUCGGAUCUGGAUUGCUGUGGCAUUGGCAUAGGCCAAUGGCUGCAGCUUGAUUUGACCUCUAGCUUGGGAACCUCCAUGUGCCAUGGGUGCGGCACUAAAAAGACAAUAAAAAAAAAAGAGAGAGAGAGCGAGAGAAGGUGGAGUUGUUUACAUUAAUGAAGAUUUUUUGUUGGCUUUUUAGGGCCACACCUGCAGCAUAUGGAGGUUCCCAGGCUAGGGGUCCAAUCGGAGUUAUAGCUGCCGGCCACAGCCACAGCAAUGCGGGAUCCGAGCCAUAACUGUUGACCUACACCACAGCUCAUGGUAACACCGAAUCCUUAACUCACUGAGCAAGGCCAGGGAUUGAACCCGAAAUCUCAUGGUUCCUAGUUGGAUUCGUUUCUGUUGCACCGUGAUGGGAACCCUUUUUUUUUUUUUUUUUGCCUUGAAGAUCCUUUAUAUGAAUUGCUUUGUCCCUACCUUAAUAAUUGAACAAUUAAUCCUAUAUCCAGUGCCAACUGAAGAUACAAAGAUGAUGCUAUUGCUGUCAAAGAACUCGCAAAGGGAAAUUGAAAUAAAAAUCAACUAUGACAACACUGUGAUGUAGACCAGAGCACAAAUGAAACAAACCAACAUUACUAUGUACCUCCAAGUGUCCAGCACUGCACCAGGCAUUAGUGAUUAAGUGAUGACUAAGAUACAUGCUCUCCUGCUCUAUGGAUCUUAUUGCUGCAUGGAGGAGACAGGCCCUUAAGAAACACUGACAGCAAAGUGCUCUAACAAGGGGGUUCAGAGCAGAUAGGUCCUGACCAGGUCAAAGGGUGCAGGACAGUGACUCAGGAGCACGUCAUGUACCCACAGUGAGUAUUCCAAGAUGUUGAGAGUGACUGCUUAUGGGAUCUUUGGACCAGCUCCUAUUCUAUUUCAUUCAGAGUCUGGGUAGCAUCUCUAGCUCUGCUGCAGCAUUUGAAGAUAGCUUGCUCCACAAGAGCAGUCAUUGUUGCUUAGAACUGACCCAAAAAGUCAGUCUUUGAUAUCACACCUCAUAAGCCAGAUCUUCCCACCAGCACUAGUGGGUCUGAUGUGAGGCUCACACAGGAUAUAGGUUGGAGAGGGCUUUGUUUUCUAGCAGUAAAGGGGAAGUGGCUCCCUAGAGCAUGGUUUGUAGCCUGAGCUAGAAAACAAAACCAUUUUAUGUUUCUUUCUUUACAAAUUGAGGCGCGUUAUCCAAACUGUGAUGACGCUGUCACCAAGUCACCAGCUUAUUACAAAUAUGAUCAGGGGUGCCAACUGCUUAGAAACUCUCAAUUGCUUUGCAUUAGCUUUAAGGUAGCGUCCAAAAUUCUUACUAUGGUCUCAGGAGUUCCCGUCGUGGCUCAGUGGUUAACGAAUCCAACUAGGAACCACGAGGUUGUGGGUUCAAUCCCUGGCCUUGCUUAGUGGGUUAAGGAUCUGACAUUGCCAUGAGCUGUGGUGUAGGUCGCAGACGCGGCUCGGAUCCCGAGUUGCUGUAGCUCUGGUGUAGGCCGGCAGCUACAGCUCCAAAUGGACCCCUAGUCUGGAACCUCCAUAUGCCGAGGGAGUGGCCCAAGAAGUGGCAAAAAGACAAAAACAACAACAACAAAACAAAAACAAAAUUCUUACUAUGGUCUGGGGGGCCCUACAUGAUCUGGUCUACAUCCCAUAUCUUCAGCCUCAUCACCUUGCACGUUACUUCCAGACCUAGUGGGCCUGUCUUUGGCCUGUUCAGUGAUCCUUUAACUUGCUAAUUUACAUAACACUCCUGGGCCUUCGCGCAUUCUGCUUCUAGAAGUGCUUUCCUUCCCUUCUCUGUCACUUCAUUUAUAACCUCAUUCUUUGGGCUUCUAUGGUAAGACUUAUAUUGAAGCACUUGUCUGUAUCAAGAUCCCACUAUGAGUCCCAUUUUAUUCCUACUUAUACUCCCUGCAUGUAUUGUAGUUAUGCUAUCUUCUCUUCAAUGGCAUGAUUAUUUGUUUGUUUUCACCACUAAAUUGUCAGUUCCAUAAGGGUAGGAUGACGUCUAUUUUGUGACUCUAUCUUCAAGGCUCAAUAAGUAUUUAUUUAAUGGAUUAUUUUAUUUUAUUUCACUUUAUUGCUUUUUAGGGCUGCACCUGUGGCAUAUGGAAUUUCUCUGGCUAGGGGACGAAUCAGAGCUGUAGCUGCUGGCCUAAGCCACAGCCACAGCAACACGGGAUCUGAGCUGUGUCUGUGACCUAAGCCACAGCUCAUGGCAACACCGGAUCCUUAACCCACUGAGGGAGGCCAGAGAUCAAACCUGAAUCCUCAUGGAUACUAGUUGGGUUUGUUACUGCUGAGCCACAAUGGGAACUUCCUUCAUGAAUUAUUGAAUAAAAAUGAAUGACUAAAUGAAAUAAUGACACUUUCCCUCAUUUCUCCUAUAAGUUCAGAUAAUGUCAGACUGGAACACUUUUGGGAGCAUUUGUUUUGGGCUAAUUUCUGGUGCUUUCUCUUUUGUACAAUUCAGGCAGGAAUUGUUUUUCAUAGGAAAUCAUGGCUGACGUGAUUCUGUCUCUGAUUUUUGCCUACUGCGGGGGCUUCUGCUUUGGAUAUUUUAUCUGAUAUAGUUGUCAUUUCAAGGCCACUUCUACAAGUGGUAAACCCUGGGUCAGCUGCCUGUUCCUCAUUAAAGUGGUGGCCAUUCCUUUUCCAAGAACAGACCAGAACGGCUUUGCUAAUCCUAGAGCUCUGAGUAUGGGGGGAUCUUGUAUGUGGGGGAUCUUGUAUGUGGGGAUCUUGAGGGUGGAAGGCACUUCAACAGGUAAGUCCAGCACAUCCUUGAAAGAGUUUAUAUUGCUGGAUUCUGGCUCCAAAUCCUGUCUUCACUGGUUUCAAGAUGGGAGAGGCCAUUACUUGGAUGAAGGAGAUUCAUUUGUGGAGAUCAAAUCAAAGAGGUAUUUGGAACAGGGGUAGAGAUAGAAGUCAGGGACCAUUUCCAAAGAGAAGUGAUCUUUGUGCUGAUUCUAGAUCGAUGGUUGAGUUAGCUCCAUGGGAAUGUGUGACAAGGGGUAAGGGUGGGGCGGAGGGCAUGUGCAAAGGUCUUGGAGAGAUGUUUGGUGAAAAGCUGAACCAAAUCUCUAGAAAAUUUAGGUAGUGACCCUUAAAAAGGUUGGUCCUCGCCCUAUAUCUUAGAUUUGAAUUAGCUAGGUAACUGCUUCAAUUUCGUGGCUGAUAUUUUCCUAGUUUGAUCUAUAACCAAACAUAGAUUAUUUGUCUUAAAUUUAGGUAGGGAAAUAAGAAUGCCAUGUGAAUUAUAUUCCUUUCUUAGUAGCUGUUUAUCAAGGGGUAUGUGUGUAUGUGUUUACACUCAUUUUUUUGGUCUUGCCCCGACAUAAAUAAAGAUUGCUGGGCUUGUUUAUGGUAAGAGCUAUGAGAUUCCAGAUUGCUGCUAAUGGUGACUUUGUAGCUAGCGAAGAGGAGCAGGACCUGCAAGAAGGAGCUCAAAUUUUGAAGUUCAUGGCCUGGGGACAAGGAUCAACUUUGCAUUUACUGACUUAUGACUUUAGACAAGUGACUUACCUCUCUAAGCCUCAAUUAUUCCCCCCCCCCCGCCUUGGGGUUAUAAUAAAAUUAUUUGCCUCAUUUAUCUCAUAGGAUUAUUUAUAUGAUGUAGUUUAUAUGAAAGAACUGCAAAAAUUAUGAAGCUCUUGGUAAAUAUGAGUCAUUAUGGUUAUAGAAUAAAUGUACCCUUAAAAAAAUGUGACAGGAUUCCUGUUGUGUCUUAGCAAUAACAAAGCUGACUAGUAUCCAUGAGGAUGUGGGUUUGGUCCCUGGUCUCGCUCAGUGGGUUGGGUAUCUGGCGUUGCUGUGAGCUGUGACGUAGGUCACAGAUGGGGCUCGGAUCUGGCUUGCUGUGGCUGUGGCUGUGGCCAGCAGCUGCAGCUCCAAUUGGAGCCCUAGCUGGGGAACUUCCAUAUGCCUCAGGUGCGGCC